AGCUCUGUGUCCUCAAAACUGAGAAGGCGACGAGACCAACCUGAGUUCAGGGUUGUAGACGACGAUCAGGUUGAUCAGCUGGUAGACGACGUUCAGGUUGAUCAGGUUGUAGACGACGUUCAGGUUGAUCAGCUGGUAGACGACGAUCAGGUUGAUCAGGUGGUAGACGACGAUCAGGUUGAUCAGGUGGUAGACGACGCUCAGGUUGUAGACGACGUUCAGGUUGAUCAGGUUGUAGACGACGUUCAGGUUGAUCAGGUGGUAGACGACGUUCAGGUUGAUCAGCUGGUAGACGACGAUCAGGUUGAUCAGGUGGUAGACGACGCUCAGGUUGUAGACGAUGUUCAGGUUGAUCAGGUUGUAGACGACGUUCAGGUUGAUCAGGUGGUAGACGACUUUCAGGUUGAUCAGGUGGUAGACGACGCUCAGGUUGUAGACGACGUUAAGGCUGUAGACGACGAUCAGGUUGAUCAGGUUGUAGACGACGAUCAGGUUGAUCAGGUUGUAGACGACGUUCAGGUUGUAGACGACGUUCAGGUUGAUCAGGUGGUAGACGACGUUCAGGUUGAUCAGGUUGUAGACGAUGCUGAUGUUGUAGACGACGUUCAGGUUGAUCAGGUUGUAGACGAUGCUGAUGUUGUAGACGACGUUCAGGUUGAUCAGGUUGUAGACGAUGCUGAUGUUGUAGACGACGCUCAGGUUGAUCAGGUGGUAGACGAUGCUGAUGUUGUAGACGACGCUCAGGUUGAUCAGGUUGUAGACGACGCUCAGGUUGAUCAGGUGGUAGACGACGUUCAGGUUGAUCAGGUUGUAGACGAUGCUGAUGUUGUAGACGACGCUCAGGUUGAUCAGGUGGUAGACGACGUUCAGGUUGAUCAGGUGGUAGACGAUGCUGAUGUUGUAGACGACGCUCAGGUUGAUCAGGUGGUAGACGACGCUCAGGUUGAUCAGGUGGUAGACGACACUCAGGUUGAUCAGGUGGUAGGCGAUGUUCAGGUUGUACAUACCGACCUGCUGACUUGUCGCUGUGAUGAGACCACCCUGCUAACGGCCCCGACCUCGUGUUGA
rnacentral:lncRNA from 1 species